AUUAGAUACCCUGGUAGUCCGCACGGUAAACGAUGGAUGCCCGCCGUUGGGUAUUUUUAUUCAGUGGCCAAGCGAAAGCGUUAAGCAUCCCACCUGGGGAGUACGCCGGCAACGGUGAAACUCAAAGGAAUUGACGGGGGCCCGCACAAGCGGAGGAACAUAUGGUUUAAUUCGAUGAUACGCGAGGAACCUUACCCGGGCUUGAAUUGCAGAUGACGGAUCCAGAGAUGGUGACUUCCUUCGGGACAUCUGUGAAGGUGCUGCAUGGUUGUCGUCAGCUCGUGCCGUGAGGUGUCGGCUUAAGUGCCAUAACGAGCGCAACCCCUUUCGUCAGUUGCCAUCGGGUAAUGCCGGGCACUCUGGCGACACUGCCGCCGCAAGGUGUGAGGAAGGUGGGGAUGACGUCAAAUCAGCACGGCCCUUACGUCCGGGGCUACACACGUGUUACAAUGGGGCAUACAGAGAGUUGGUCAUGCGCAAGCAUGAUCGGAUCAUGAAAGUGUCCCUCAGUUCGGACUGGGGUCUGCAACCCGACCCCACGAAGCUGGAUUCGCUAGUAAUCGCGCAUCAGCCAUGGCGCGGUGAAUACGUUCCCGGGCCUUGUACACACCGCCCGUCAAGCCAUGAAAGCCGGGGGCGCCUGAAGUCCGUGACCGCGAGGGUCGGCCUAGGGUGAAACCGGUGAUUGGGGCUAAGUCGUAACAAGGUACC
rnacentral:rRNA from 1 species